CCCACCUAACACGGUCUUUUUUGGUACUUCUUUCGUCCCACUAGAGACGGUUUUUUUUCGUCCUCGAUCCCACCUCCCGCAUCCCCUCGAUUCCCACCUCCGCCCUCGAACCAGGAAAUAAAAAUCGGUAUGCUCCCACUAUGUCCACUGCUAAACCCUCCGGUUCAUCGAAAAAAACUCGCACCUGAAAAAAAUCUACGAAAAUUAACCUACGCCCCGACCGCCGCCCGCGGGUCGCCCGCUCCCUCGCGCCCCUGUUGCUCCCUCCUCGAUCCCGAUCUGGAUCGAGGGGACGAGGAGCUCCUGCCUCCCCGAGACCCCGACGGCCGGCCUCCUCCUCGCCCCGCCGCUGCGUCCGGCGCCGCCACGGCCUCUGGAGCCAGGGAAGCCAUGGCCUGAGCUCGGCCUCGAGGUCCCCGCCGCCGUCUCCUGCAGCUUCUGCCCCGCCGCCUCACCGCCCGAGCUCGCCGUCGCGCCGCCGCCGGCUCUGGUCGCCUCCACCUCCGCUCCAGGCAACCCUCGGUCGCCGGCUCGCUGGAGCACGACGGCAGACGAUGGAUGCCUGGUUGUGUGCGACGGAUGCAGUUCUCACGCGCAAACUAGGGUUGGAGCCGCCAGCUCUUCAUCCUGCCCGCCGGCGGCGAGUCUUCCCGUCCCGUACUGCCGCCUCCCCGUUAUCACAGGUAUCUCCACCCCUUCCUCUUUCCCCCUCUUCUCUCCUCUCCCUUCUCCCUCCUCCAUCUCUGUUCCCUUCCCCCUCCCACCCCGUUAUCUGUUCAUGUUGUUGGCACCUGAAGAAGUUGGUGGCAUGGUGAAGCCCCUGAGCAAAAGUUGCAGGAGUCUUUGAAGGAGUUGGAGAAGUCUUAAACCUGAGUCCGAAUCCAAUUUCGUGGGAACAAGCAUAUAUUCCAUGAAUUUUCCAUUAGAUUCAGUGGACAGGUAAUGUCCUCAACGACACUUGCACACCCUAAACCCUAAAAGAAACAACUAGAUGCCUUGGGUAAUUUUGGCUGCAUCCGUCUUGGUUAGUUGGUUUACAUGUGAAUUCACACGUUUAAAGGGCAUGUGACCAUUAACUUUAUAAGUAUUUAUCCACGUUCUAAAGGAAUUAAAUAGGAUGCAGUAGUGCAGACAUUCAAAGGAGGUGGGAAGUGUGCAUAUGCUUUAUGUUAGUUAUAUGCACAGGGCAGCCUAUCAAUAUAGAGGUGUCAUUCAGACAGAGCUCUUUGAAUAUAAUAAGACAAAAGAUCGGGUUCCUGAUUUUUUUAUAAGAAGAUUCUUCUAUAUGUUCAGUUACAUGAUUUUUAAUUUGAUCAUCUUCUUUGAAAAAAUUUUGUGCUGACUAUGAUAUUUCUUUUGAUUUGUAGGUUCAUCUGGUCCUUUACUCCUCACAUAAUAACUGUGAAACUUAAUGAGGAACUUCUGAAAAAUGCUCCCUCCCCUCUGAUGUCUAUUUGGUUACUUAUGCUUGUGUGGUCUGGUUGUUCCUAAGUGCUUUCGGACAUUAUUAUUUGUGUGAUCAGCAUUGAGUAGAUUGCCUGCAGCAAGAUAACUUGAGUUUUUUUACUUAAGUAAACGAUAUGUAAAUAGCUCUAAGUUAACUGGACAUUUUGUCGCAUUGGCUUGAAUCUGCAUGUUGCAUCAUUUGUGCACAAUGAAAACUGUAUGAACCUGCAUUGGAUGGUGUAUUUGUAGGAAGGUUAUCCUUUCUUCAAGGACUGGAAGUUUCCUGGUAAGUGUUCCUUUUUCUUAAAAACUCUGUGUUUGUUCGCUGUAAUAUUUUGUUUACAUCAGGUUUCUCUUUCCUUUUGUGGGCAUAAUGGGCGAGACAAUAAUAUUCAGAAAGUUGUUGUUUUAGGGAAACUGCUAACUCCAUAUGUCAGACCCAUAUCAUUGUUGAGCAUGCAUAGUGUUCCUAUGUCAUUUCUAUGAUGUAUUUGUUUCCUUUUAUAUCACAGUAGUCUUCAUUUUGGCCAUGUACCUUCAAACUGAACCAAAAAUGGUUUGUCUGAUGACAUGUUUGAGGAGAUUCUUGAUAUGAAACAGUAGAUAUGAGGGUGACCGUUUUUUUUGCAAGUUUUGUCCGUGGAAUCUUUUUGCAGUUGAUAAGACAUGGGCUGGACUUACUUCCGAUCUGCAAUAUUUUCGGUAAAGUGAUUCAAGGAAACAAACAUCCACUGUGUCAAUCACUCAAGAUGGUGCAUGCAGUUUUCCUGAAAGUUAAGUCUGAGAGCCUGCUCCUACAUAAAGCUGGGUGACGGGACGACGGCCAAUUUCUGGGAGGACAAAUGGUUGCCGGGUGGGCGUUCCGUCUAAGACCUGGCACCAACACUGCUCACUUUUGUGCCCAAGAGCACAACUAGUCAUCUAGGGUUUGGAUGGGGCUGGGUUCCUACAACGACGGCAACAGAGGCGACAAACACCACUUUGCAACCUCGCCGAACUGUGUUGCUGAACUGAAGUGUAGGGACAGCAGCAGUUUUACCACCGAUGGUGUUGCAUGUAAGCUGGAUGUUCUCAUUGUUCUGUUGGCUCUGAUCGGUGUGUAUGCUAUGAAGUUAAGGUUCUUAAGAUUAAUGAUGUUUAUAGAAGUGAUGCAGGAUGUGAGGUACAACUAUCAAAGUGACAUUAAUUUUGGUUGUGAUUCCUAUCCGCAGCCUCUUCUACACUAGAGAAGGAAAACACUCGACGAUCUGGCUCUGUCUCAGGUAUAUGCUCCCUCGCCCGCAAGAUCCGCUCUCUCCCAUCUACGCAUCGCAACAGCACUUCAGCUCCUCUUGUGGAUUCUCACCAGAUCAGGCCACCUCACUCACCUUCAGGUUUGUAAACAGUCAUCCAUACCAUAGGGUCCAUCGGUGAAACAAAGCCAAUCAUAUGAAUUGAAGGAGCUACUGAAAUAAAGUGGAAAGAACAAAGAGAAAAUUGAAGAUUAUCUAUAUGAACAUUCCGAGAAUGGGAUAGGAGAGGUGGUUCUUCCCAACAGGAAAAAGAGUGGAGCGUCUGUCGUGAUGGACAAAGUUAAGAUCCCAACAAAAAGUGCUUCUUGAUGCUAUGAUGCAGCAACUUAACCUUCCAAAUUACAGUUUACUAAACAGACCUCGCCGGCAGAUCCCUCAGCUAUCAGGGAAGGCAGUCAUCAGCGGAGAUUGAGGGCGCCUCUCCGGCGAGAGUGCUCAUGUCGUGGUGGUUUUCCACCAGCAGCGUGGGGGAGGCGGUGUCCUCUGCAGCUAGGUCUACUUACUGGCGACCUCACCAUCACCAGCCCACCUGCAGAGCAUUUGUAAAGGGCAGUUGAUCUUCUCAUUGGUUUCAUUGGCGUUGUAUGCAGGGUCUCAAAAGGUCUGCUGUUCCUGGAUGGUGCGUGUGAUAGCUGCAUAUGAGGAUGUACGAAGGAUUUGGCUGCGAACUCAAUCAGACCAUUGGAUUGAAGCUGAAGGGGGCAUUGCAAAGAUACGAAGGAAUGGCCUUUCGUUCAUAACCUGGUCAGCUACACAACAUCUGGUCGUACAUGUUUCUGUUGCAGCGGCCCAGUUACGUGGAGAAGAAUGGCAUACGCUGAGGAUUGUGUCAGCUGAUUUUCUAACUCAUGUUUAGCUCAUGGAUUCUCAUUUAUCUCUUCAAUUUACACAAGGAGGUGCAUUAUCAGCUCUUAUGUAUUUUCUUAAUAACCGUUGAUAGGAAUGACAACUAUGUUGAGAUGUGGUAGACCAUUGAAUGACUUUUGGUCCAGAAUGAAAAAUAGAGGCAUAAUUAUUGUAAUUUUGUUGCUGCUAAUUUCUUUCAAACGAA